rnacentral:rRNA from 1 species
GGGCCCGCACAAGCGGUGGAGCAUGUGGUUUAAUUCGAUGCAACGCGAAGAACCUUACCAGGGCUUGACAUACUACGAAUCCUUCUGAGAAGAAGGAGUGCCUUCGGGAAUGUAGAUACAGGUGGUGCAUGGCUGUCGUCAGCUCGUGUCGUGAGAUGUUGGGUUAAGUCCCGCAACGAGCGCAACCCUUAUUUUUAGUUACCAACUUGUUGGGUUCUCUAGAAAGACUGCCGGUGACAAACCGGAGGAAGGUGAGGAUGACGUCAAGUCAGCAUGCCCCUUAUGUCCUGGGCUACACACGUGCUACAAUGGUUAAGACAAAGAGUCGCGAGCUUGCAAAAGUCAGCUAAUCUCAUAAACUUAGCCUAAGUUCAGAUUGUAGGCUGCAACUCGCCUACAUGAAGUUGGAAUC